UACGUAGGGGGCGAGCGUUGUCCGGAAUCAUUGGGCGUAAAGCGUGCGCAGGCGGUUUUGUAAGCCAGGUGUGAAAUCCCCGGGCUCAACCUGGGAAUGGCAUUUGGGACUGCAAGGCUGGAGUGUGGCAGAGGAGACUGGAAUUCCUGGUGUAGCAGUGAAAUGCGUAGAUAUCAGGAGGAAUACCGAUGGCGAAGGCAGGUCUCUGGGCUGACACUGACGCUCAUGCACGAAAGCGUGGGGAGCAAACAGG
rnacentral:rRNA from 1 species